rnacentral:rRNA from 1 species
UUACCUAGAGUUGCGGGCUUUGCCUGCCAUCUCUUACCCAUGUCUUUUGAGUACCUUACGUUUCCUCGGCGGGUCCGCCCGCCGAUUGGACAACCUUAAACCCUUUGUAAUUGAAGUCAGCGUCUGAAAAAACUUAAUAGUUACAACUUUCAACAACGGAUCUCUUGGUUCUGGCAUCGAUGAAGAACGCAGCGAAAUGCGAUAAGUAGUGUGAAUUGCAGAAUUCAGUGAAUCAUCGAAUCUUUGAACGCACAUUGCGCCCCUUGGUAUUCCAUGGGGCAUGCCUGUUCGAGCGUCAUUUGUACCUUCAAGCUCUGCUUGGUGUUGGGUGGUUGUCUCGCCUCUGCGCGCAGACUCGCCUCAAAACAAUUGGCAGCCGGCGUAUUGAUUUCGGAGCGCAGUACAUCUCGCGCUUUGCACUCAUAACGACGACGUCCAAAAAGUACAUUUUUACACUCUUGACCUCGGAUCAGGUAGGGAUACCCGCUGAANUNAANCAUAUCAAUAAGCGGAGGAA